rnacentral:rRNA from 1 species
AGAAAGACAAAGAUUACCUGGAGAACUGAAACAUCUAAGUACCCGGAGGAAAGGACAUCAAUUGAUACUCCCCUAGUAGCGGCGAGCGAACGGGGACCAGCCGAGCUGUGAGUGUGAAUAGAAUGGCAUGGAAUGGCCAACCAGAGUGGGUGACAGUCCCGUAUAUGAAGCAUGAUCAGACGUAUUAAGUAGGGCGGAACACGUGAAAUUCUGUCUGAAGAUCGGAGGACCACCUUCGAAGGCUAAGUACUCCUUACUGACCGAUAGCGAACCAGUACCGUGAGGGAAAGGU